AUGUGGCACCCACCGGGGGGGAUGAGAACCCCCGACCGGGGUUCGACAACUGGCAACGCCAGUUGGACAGACCGCGAGCCUGCGAGCGGGCUGCCCCGCAGGGGCGAGCGAAGCGAGUCAAUCCCCCCCUCACCGCCA
rnacentral:sRNA from 2 species